ensembl:lncRNA
CUCUCAUCCCGCUCAGCGUCGUCCCAGCGUGACUUUGAUCUGUUGAUGCAGAGAAACGCAAACCAAAAGGUAUUUCAAAGCCGCGCAUUAUUUUAAAAUGCAUUAGGGUUGAACAUUACCAAAGCCCAGCGAGGAGUCUUCAAAGGCCGACUCUGAAGUCGUUGUUUUCUCCCCGGAUGAAGGAAGAAUCCGCUCUGAAGGGCUUCACCAUUCAGUCGCUUAGUCCUGAGUCCAACGGGACGCCCAGUGGAAACACAGACAGUAACACGAUGAGGAGCAGGUCAGGGUUAGACAGUACAGAGACAGGUCAUUAAGGAGCAGGUAGGGGUUAGACAGUAGAGAGACAGGUCAUCAAGGAGCAGGUAGGGGUUAGACAGUACAGAGACAGGUUAUUAAGGAGCAGGUAGGGGUUAGACAGUACAGAGACAGGUCAUUAAGGAGCAGGUAGGGGUUAGACAGUACAGAGACAGGUCAUUAAGGAGCAGGUAGGGGUUAGACAGUGGAAAGACAGGUCAUUAAGGAGCAGGUAGGGGU